rnacentral:misc_RNA from 1 species
AACUUUCGGCAACGGAUCUCUUGGCUCUCGCAUCGAUGAAGAACGCAGCGAAAUGCGAUACGUUAUGUGAAUUGCAGAAUUCAGUGAAUCAUCGAAUCUUUGAACGCACCUUGCGCCCUUUGGUAUUCCGAGGGGCACACCCGUUUGAGUGUCGUGACAUUCUCAAAACCUUCUCGGUUUCUCGACCGGGAAGGCUUUGGACUUUGGAGGCUUUUGCUGGCAUUCCUUUGUUGGAGCCAGCUCCUCUGAAAUGAAUUAGUGGGGUCUGCUUUGCCGAUCCUUGACGUGAUAAGAUGUUUUCUACGUCUUGGGUUUUAGCACUCCUGCUUCUAACCGUCUCACAGUAGACAAAUGGUCCACUCGACCCACAAACCUUGACCUCAAAUCGGGUGAGACUACCCGCUGAACUUAAGCAUAUCAAUAAGCGGAGGCU